AAGAUAAAGAAGCACCAGCAGAGCUGGCGAGCAGAAACCUGGCCUCAGGGCAAAAGAGAUGCCACAGAAAUAGUUACACAGGCCUCGGAAGGGAAGCCUUCACUGCGUGUACGGCCCCCGUGGACUGCCACAGGAUUUCCUAGGAUCCUCCUGGAAGCCUCAAAGAAUGGGUCAGAUUUUUUGGAUUCUAAGCAUCAUGACACUCUAUAAAAGAGAGCCUGGAGCAACCUUGAAAUUAAGCCACACAGGCAGCCAUUUACUUGGUUAAUGAACAUUGCUAUUUCAUUGGUUUUAAGGUUAGUGUCUAUUCUCCCUCCUGGUGGUAACAGCAUCCCAACAGUGUUUUGGAGAAUCACUCCUCUGCUAUUAGAUGUAUGAAGUAGUGGUACCUGUCUUCCUCUGGCUAACAGGGAAAGGCUGCAUGGUUACCAGGAAGAACACUGAUGGGUUGGUAGACCAGUGUAAGUCAUCUAAUGGUCUUGGCUAUCACGUCACGGAUGACACAGUCUGUCUCUAGGUGUUUCACAUUAAUGGAAGAAACCUGAAAUAAAAUACAGUGUUUGAUUGGUUUAGGGUGGUCUUUUUCAGACUACAGAUUGGAACUCAUUAGUGGCUUGUGAACUCAAUUUAGUGGGUUGUGAUCAGCAUUUUUAAAAGCAGAAAUAGAAGAGGAAAAGUGGCAGAAAUAGGAAUAUUGGAUGCAGACAGAAUAAGUAAUGUUUUAUUAAACUUCUAUUUCACAUGUAUAUAUGUAUAUGCUUGUAUGUGUAUAGAAUACAUAUAAUUUGUCCUUUGGUAUUCUCGGGGGAUGGGCUAUAGGACGUUGUGGAAACCAAAAUAACACAGAUGCACCAGUCCCUCACCACUGGCUCUCAGUAUUUGUUCAGAACCUGUGACUACGGAGGUAACUGUACGUUAUAUUGUAUGUAUGUAUGUAAUAUGCAAUAUGUAUAUAUGCAAACUUAUUUAUGUAUAUUUGUAGUAGGUCAAUACAUACAACAUCAAAGAGGUUUCAAAGCCAUGGGUCUGGAAAGAGGUCUAGAAAAAGCCCCCUUCACUCAGAUCUUCCAUUAACAUACCUAUUCCAAUUAAAUUCUUUUUUUUUUUUUUUUCCUUUCUUGCAGCAUUUGGAAGUUCUCAGGCCAGGGGUUCCCAGGUUUGCGCCAGAGCCAUGCAACACUGGAUCUGAGUAGCAUCUGUGAUCUGUGCCACAGUUUAUGGCAACACCAGAUCCGUAACCCACUGAGCGAGGCCAGGGAUAAAACCCACAUCCUUAUAGAGACAACAUCAGGUCCUUAACCUGCUGAGCCACAACGGGAACUCCUCUGCCUAUUAAUUUCUUCGUGCUUAAAGCACAUUGAAAACUAUUGAAACUAUUAGGAUGAAGAAUUGUCAACAGUUUGAGCACUGAGUGAAGGCUGGGUGAAACAAAGACGUAAAGGUACUCUUGGUUUGGUAAAUAUAUACGUAAUAUACUAAAUAAAGGUGUUUUAAACUCU
rnacentral:lncRNA from 1 species